rnacentral:rRNA from 1 species
GAUGAACGCUGGCGGCGUGCCUAAUACAUGCAAGUCGAGCGGACGGACGAGAAGCUUGCUUCUCUGAUGUUAGCGGCGGACGGGUGAGUAACACGUGGAUAACCUACCUAUAAGACUGGGAUAACUUCGGGAAACCGGAGCUAAUACCGGAUGAUAUUUUGAACCGCAUGGUUCAAAAGUGAAAGACGGUCUUGCUGUCACUUAUAGAUGGAUCCGCGCUGCAUUAGCUAGUUGGUAAGGUAACGGCUUACCAAGGCAACGAUGCAUAGCCGACCUGAGAGGGUGAUCGGCCACACUGGAACUGAGACACGGUCCAGACUCCUACGAGAGGCAGCAGUAGGGAAUCUUCCGCAAUGGGCGAAAGCCUGACGGAGCAACGCCGCGUGAGUGAUGAAGGUCUUCGGAUCGUAAAACUCUGUUAUUAGGGAAGAACAUAUGUGUAAGUAACUGUGCACAUCUUGACGGUACCUAAUCAGAAAGCCACGGCUAACUACGUG